rnacentral:lncRNA from 1 species
GACCAAUAUCCAUGUGUGACCGAAACUGAACCAAAAACACCACUUUGACUAUUUGUUGUUUCAGAUUAUCCAACGUGGAGAGCAGCGAGUGAGAAACAACAGGGAGGAGAGAGGAUGUGUGUAAGGCUCCCUCUCUCCUCCUCCUCACACGCUGGUGACAGAGAGGUAGACGGGAGUGUUUAUCAUGAGCCGCCCGUGAGACUCAGCAGCACAGUGACGGGGACAGACAUUACAGAGAGGAGAGGGGACGCACAUCGACACACUCGAGUGUGAGGAAGCUUUCAGUCCAGCAGACACUUCGCGCAGACUGGGGACGACUGGAUUGGUGAGUGGAACUCUUGGCUGUGAAUUUACUUAAAAAAAAAUUAAAUCCUCAUUUACUUAUAAAUAUUGUUGACGUUUAUGAUUUAUUGGCAACAUUGAGUGACC